rnacentral:misc_RNA from 1 species
GAUGAAGAACGUAGUGAAAUGCGAUAAGUAGUAUGAAUUGCAGAAUUCCGUGAAUCAUCGAAUCUUUGAACGCACAUUGCGCCUUCUGGUAUUCCGGAAGGCAUGCCUGUUCGAGAGUCAUUAACAACCGUUUCGAUCCCUUUCUUUCAGAAAUUACAAAGAGGAAAAGGGUUUGGUUAUGGUGGAGGAGGGAAAGGGAGCGUUUAGCCUGUAAAAAAAGAGGCUGUGUUCCGCCUCCCCCCCAAAAUUGUACAGGCGGUCGUGUGCGCCCACGCAUCGAGGUGUUGUAAAAGCUGCCACGGCACUUUUCACCUGUGCAGUGCGAGAUUGGCCAGCCGGUUUAAAAACCCCUCCAAACAAUCAAAGGUUGACCUCGGAUCAGGUAGGGAUACCCGCUGAACUUAAGCAUAUCAAUAAGCGGAGGA